rnacentral:lncRNA from 1 species
CCACAACCCCGCUAAGAGCAGAGGAAAAAUCCUUGCCUAAAGAAAAAACCCUCGCCUAAAUAAAAACAAAAAGGAAGAUAAGAAGGGAAGACAAUGAACUACACCAACGAUAAGUGAAAAACAAACUACGUCAAAGAUACGAGGAACCUCAUCUCAAUGAGGAAGGAUAUUCCAAUCAAAAACUCUCAGUCGCUAAGAGAAAACUUGCCUAUGCCGAGGAGAAAUAGACAAAAGAAGUUCGGUAAACGACAACUCAAUACAAGAAUAGACAAGGUAAUGAAAAUUUUUUUUUUUAUUUCAUUAAUGA